UACACUUACACUAAUGAUACGGAUGUCAUUGACUUAUGAUUGUGUUCGACUGUUCAAAAUCAAAUAUAUCUGCUACACGAUUUUAUCAUGAUGGUUGCUUAAACAAAAUAAUUAUAAAUAUAAUAGAAGUGUGUACCUACUAAGUACUAAUCAAUUUCUGCAAAUAACAUCAAUUCUCAAACAGUUUUGAAAAACUGUCAUUGUGAUGACAGGAUUGCAUUGUAAGAACAGUCUAAAUUAAGUUGGUCUUAUUGAUGAUUGACAUUUUAUCAGAAUAUCAAAAUUAUGCCAGAUGAAGACAUUAGUCUAAAAAAUGAAAAAGAGUAUUUUUAAUUAUACAUGAUAAUUGCAAUGGUUAUAUAUUAUUAGGUACGUAUUAAUUAUUAAUAUGAUAAUACUUUAUUAAAAAUAACCUAAUCUAAUCUAACGGUGACACAAAAACAAAUAGUUAUUUCAUUAUUUGUUUUAAAUUUAAUAUAUUAUACAUUCAUUGCUUUGUUCAGAAUCAUACCCAAAGAUAUUGGAAUAUAAAUUAUUAUGAAUACUACUAAUACGAGCUACAUUAAAUAAGCAUACGGCUUACAUCCUACAAAUAAAAGAAUCUUUUGUGUGCUACUGUUGCUUACUAUUUACAAACAAAUAUUUUCAAAUGUAACUAAUUAUUUACAAAGAAUAAAACAAAUUUUGAAGCUAUCAAUUAAUAAAAAAUGUUCAUAACUUGUUAGAAAUUUAAAUUUUCAUUUAAUAAAAUAAUAUGUAUAAAUCAUAAUUGGAAAGUAAUAAAAACUGUUUAAUCAUUGAAAUUUUUUACUCCAAAUAAUGUUAAACAAAAAUAAAUUGAACCCAAUUUAGUAGUACAUCAAAUUUAAAAUUUUUACUAUCUAAAAAUUACUGGUGUUUUAUAGUAAAAUAACUUUAACACUAUCUACAUGUCAUCACUGGAUGAAUAAAUCUAACUAAUCAUAUUAGAAUUACAUAUUUUAAAAACAUUACAUAAGCAAAAUACGAACUAUUCCAUGAAUAAUAAUACAGUUUAAUCUUGUUAAGUUUUUCUAAAAACAAUUUGUUAUGUUGUCCACAAUAACUCUCCUUUUCUUUUGUAAAAUAAUAUUUAUUUAAUAAAAUUGUUGAAGUUUUCCUAUGAAUAAAAUAUUAUGGUAUUAUUUUUUCAUAUCCCAAUUUGUUAUCAAUUUAUAAAUUAUAGUCGUUUUUUCAUCAUUUUUUUUUUUUAUGUUCAUUAUGUAUCUACAAGGUCAAAAUAAUAAUUUUAAUGAGCAAUAUAUUAUACAACAUUGAUAGUGUUCUUUUUUAUUUUUGACACAAAACAAAAAUGUGUUUAACAAUAAAAAUAACUUAAAAAUAUAAUAAUAUUUAUAAAUAGAAAUAUAUGUAUGUAGAAAAAAAAUAAUGUUUAUUAUAUUAUGAUCAAGAUGUAUAUCCC